rnacentral:rRNA from 1 species
AGAGUUUGAUCCUGGCUCAGAUUGAACGCUGGCGGCAGGCCUAACACAUGCAAGUCGAACGGUAACAGGAAGAAGCUUGCUUCUUUGCUGACGAGUGGCGGACGGGUGAGUAAUGUCUGGGAAACUGCCUGAUGGAGGGGGAUAACUACUGGAAACGGUAGCUAAUACCGCAUAAUGUCGCAAGACCAAAGAGGGGGACCUUCGGGCCUCUUGCCAUCGGAUGUGCCAGAUGGGAUUAGCUAGUAGGUGGGGUAACGGCUCACCUAGGCGACGAUCCCUAGCUGGUCUGAGAGGAUGACCAGCCACACUGGAACUGAGACACGGUCCAGACUCCUACGGGAGGCAGCAGUGGGGAAUAUUGCGCAAUGGGCGCAAGCCUGAUGCAGCCAUGCCGCGUGUAUGAAGAAGGCCUUCGGGUUGUAAAGUACUUUCAGCGGGGAGGAAGGGAGUAAAGUUAAUACCUUUGCUCAUUGACGUUACCCGCAGAAGAAGCACCGGCUAACUCCGUGCCAGCAGCCGCGGUAAUACGGAGGGUGCAAGCGUUAAUCGGAAUUACUGGGCGUAAAGCGCACGCAGGCGGUUUGUUAAGUCAGAUGUGAAAUCCCCGGGCUCAACCUGGGAACUGCAUCUGAUACUGGCAAGCUUGAGUCUCGUAGAGGGGGGUAGAAUUCCAGGUGUAGCGGUGAAAUGCGUAGAGAUCUGGAGGAAUACCGGUGGCGAAGGCGGCCCCCUGGACGAAGACUGACGCUCAGGUGCGAAAGCGUGGGGAGCAAACAGGAUUAGAUACCCUGGUAGUCCACGCCGUAAACGAUGUCGACUUGGAGGUUGUGCCCUUGAGGCGUGGCUUCCGGAGCUAACGCGUUAAGUCGACCGCCUGGGGAGUACGGCCGCAAGGUUAAAACUCAAAUGAAUUGACGGGGGCCCGCACAAGCGGUGGAGCAUGUGGUUUAGUUCGAUGCAACGCGAAGAACCUUACCUGGUCUUGACAUCCACAGAACUUUCCAGAGAUGGAUUGGUGCCUUCGGGAACUGUGAGACAGGUGCUGCAUGGCUGUCGUCAGCUCGUGUUGUGAAAUGUUGGGUUAAGUCCCGCAACGAGCGCAACCCUUAUCCUUUGUUGCCAGCGGUCCGGCCGGGAACUCAAAGGAGACUGCCAGUGAUAAACUGGAGGAAGGUGGGGAUGACGUCAAGUCAUCAUGGCCCUUACGACCAGGGCUACACACGUGCUACAAUGGCGCAUACAAAGAGAAGCGACCUCGCGAGAGCAAGCGGACCUCAUAAAGUGCGUCGUAGUCCGGAUUGGAGUCUGCAACUCGACUCCAUGAGGUCGGAAUCGCUAGUAAUCGUGGAUCAGAAUGCCACGGUGAAUACGUUCCCGGGCCUUGCACUCACCGCCCGUCA